rnacentral:rRNA from 1 species
UACGGGGGGGGCAAGCGUUGUUCGGAAUUACUGGGCGUAAAGGGCGCGUAGGCGGCCUUCUAAGUCGGACGUGAGAUCCCUCGGCUUAACCGAGGAACUGCGUCCGAUACUGAAAGGCUUGAAUCCGGGAGAGGGAUGUGGAAUUCCAGGUGUAGCGGUGAAAUGCGUAGAUAUCUGGAGGAACACCGGUGGCGAAGGCGGCAUCCUGGACCGGCAUUGACGCUGAGGCGCGAAAGCUAGGGGAGCAAACGGG